UUACACGAUUUGGUUGGUUGGUUAACACUGAUUAUUUGUAUUGCUCCUGGUAUAUUUGUAUCCCAGAUCAUGCGGAAAAAGGUAUCGCUUUUAUAACAACCAAAGAAAAGCACCCUUCAAGAGCAACAAUAAGUAAAUCGCUCGAUAGCCUCAAAAGAAUUAAUUUCGAUGUUUCAAAAUCGCCGGUUUAUCCAAUAAAUGUGAUUAAAUUGUUAUAAAAAAACUGUUCAUCCAGGAAAGAUUAAAUUGGGUAUAAUUCAACCUCAAA